rnacentral:rRNA from 1 species
UACGUAGGUGGCGAGCGUUGUCCGGAUUUACUGGGCGUAAAGAGCGCGCAGGCGGCUGAGAAAGUCCGAUGUGAAAGCUUCCGGCUUAACUGGAAAACGGCAUUGGAAACUUCUCAGCUUGAAGGUGGGAGAGGGUAGCGGAAUUCCCGGUGUAGUGGUGAAAUGCGUAGAUAUCGGGAGGAACACCAGUGGCGAAGGCGGCUACCUGGCCCAUUCUUGACGCUGAGGCGCGAAAGCUAGGGGAGCGAACGGGAUUAGAAACCCCCGUAGUCC